UACGUAGGGUGCGAGCGUUGUCCGGAAUUAUUGGGCGUAAAGAGCUCGUAGGCGGUGUGUCACGUCGGCCGUGAAAACCUGCAGCUUAACUGUGGGCGUGCGGUCGAUACGGGCAUGACUGGAGUUCGGCAGGGGAGACUGGAAUUCCUGGUGUAGCGGUGAAAUGCGCAGAUAUCAGGAGGAACACCGGUGGCGAAGGCGGGUCUCUGGACGGUUUCUGACACUAAGACACGAAAGCGUGGGGAGCAAACAGG
rnacentral:rRNA from 1 species